rnacentral:tRNA from 1 species
GGUUGUAUAGUGUAGUUGGUUAUCACAUCGGAUUCUGAUGUUCGCUCGUCUGAAUUUCCGGUGACCCCGGUUCGAGUCCGGGUACGACCU